rnacentral:rRNA from 1 species
GGCGAACGGCUGAGUAACACGUGGGCAAUCUGCCCUUCACUCUGGGACAAGCCCUGGAAACGGGGUCUAAUACCGGAUACAACUACUACAGGCAUCUGUUGGUGGUGGAAAGCUCCGGCGGUGAAGGAUGAGCCCGCGGCCUAUCAGCUUGUUGGUGAGGUAGUGGCUCACCAAGGCGACGACGGGUAGCCGGCCUGAGAGGGCGACCGGCCACACUGGGACUGAGACACGGCCCAGACUCCUACGGGAGGCAGCAGUGGGGAAUAUUGCACAAUGGGCGAAAGCCUGAUGCAGCGACGCCGCGUGAGGGAUGACGGCCUUCGGGUUGUAAACCUCUUUCAGCAGGGAAGAAGCGAAAGUGACGGUACCUGCAGAAGAAGCGCCGGCUAACUACGUGCCAGCAGCCGCGGUAAUACGUAGGGCGCGAGCGUUGUCCGGAAUUAUUGGGCGUAAAGAGCUCGUAGGCGGCUUGUCACGUCGGGUGUGAAAGACCGGGGCUUAACUCCGGUUCUGCAUUCGAUACGGGCUAGCUAGAGUUCGGUAGGGGAGAUCGGAAUUCCUGGUGUAGCGGUGAAAUGCGCAGAUAUCAGGAGGAACACCGGUGGCGAAGGCGGAUCUCUGGGCCGAUACUGACGCUGAGGAGCGAAAGCGUGGGGGAGCGAACAGGAUUAGAUA